rnacentral:lncRNA from 1 species
GCGACGAAAGUGUCAGAGAGCAUCUUGGAAGAGAAAUCAACUUCAACGGGCUUGAGCAUUUUGUGCGAUUUCCAGCAAUUCUUAACGAGGGCAGAUCUUUGGUGCUUUAGGAGGAUCGAACUCAUCCAUGUUGAAUUUGUUUCCUCAGGUUCUUCUUCAUCCUGGUGUUGCUUCGUAUUUUUUAUUUUUCUCAUGUUUCUCACAAUCCAUCGGAAACCCUCUAGGAGACUAUUUCUGGUGUUGGAUCCCUCGGUUUCCUCAAGAACAAUCAAUAGGUGAGUUUUUUUCCUGUACUUUGUUCAUGGAACCUUUCAAAUCUGUUGUGAGCCGAGGAGAAAAGGAG